AAGUUGGAUUCGCUAGUAAUCGCGCAUCAGCCAUGGCGCGGUGAAUACGUUCCCGGGCCUUGUACACACCGCCCGUCAAGCCAUGGGAGCCGGGGGUGCCUGAAGUUCGUGACCGCAAGGAGCGACCUAGGGCAAAACUGGUGACUGGGGCUAAGUCGUAACAAGGUACC
rnacentral:rRNA from 1 species